GGAGGGCCGAACGCACGUCGGUUGAAAACGGCGGCGAUGACCUGCGGAUAGGGGUGAAAGGCCAAUCAAACCCGGAGAUAUCUCGUUCUCCCCGAAAUAGCUUUAGGGCUAGCGUCGCGCGUUCACCGCCGGAGGUAGAGCACCGGAUGGACGAGGGGGCUUCGCCGCCUACCGAAUCCAACCGAACUCCGAAUGCCGGCGGCCCAGAGCGCGGCAGUCAGAGCAUGUGGGCUAAGCUGUGUGCUCGAGAGGGAAACAGCCCGGACCGCCCGCUAAGGUCCCCAAGUUCCAGCCGAGUGGCAAAGGAUGUGCGUCCGCCCAGACAACCAGGAUGUUGGCUUAGAAGCAGCCAUCCAUUCAAAGAGUGCGUAACAGCUCACUGGUCGAGUGGACAUGCGCCGACAAUACACGGGGCUAAGCUGGACACCGAAGCGGCGGGAUUUUACCUAAGUAGAAUCGGUAGGGGAGCUUCCCAUGGGCGGGGAAGCCGCCGGGCGACCGGCGGUGGAGCGCAUGGGAGUGAGAAUGCUGGCAUGAGUAGCGAGAGACGAGAGAGUAACUCGUCCGCCGUGAACCCGAGGUUUCCUGGGCAAGGCUAAUCCUCCCAGGGUCAGUCGGGGGCUAAGGCG
rnacentral:rRNA from 1 species